ensembl:lncRNA
GUCCUGUUUCUGUUACGUGUAUGUUUUUGUAUUGAUCUAAAAUGUAAAACCUGUACUAUUUUUGUAUCUCUACCUUUAUAUUACCAAUAAAGAAUUGAUAAAAAAAAAAAAGUAUGCAGGGUGAAGCUUUUCAAACCACAGUAACACACACUUCACUGUCAUCAUGCGAAGUGUAAUGCCAAAACUCAAAUAUGUAAAUGUGAACAGGAGAAUUCCAUGAUAAAAUUCCUUUUGUAAUCUAAUAUAAAUAAGUCUUCAGAGUUCAACAGUGCUGCAUAGACUGUUCUGGUCCUGUUGUAGUCCAAGUCAUUAUCUUAAGCAUUGCAUGUGGGUGGUAGGGAUGGCUGGCCUGGGGGCUCCUCCUGUUAGGCCAUCAUAUGAUCCCUUUUUCCCACUCCCCCCACCUUUUAGCCAAACCGUCUCCUCCAUCGCGGCUUAUCUGUCCUGUUUAAUCCACUCAUAAUUCUAAUCGCUAUCAAAAAACAGGCACAUGCACUUGGCUCACUGACUUACAGGCCCAGCACAUUUGAUAUUAAAUCAGGGGCUUGAAAUGCUCACUGCAGUUAUUCACAGAGUCCCCCCUAAUGACUUCUGACUCUGGCACAGAUCUCGCCCAGAUCCGGCCUGUUUGGGACCUAGAGAAGGCAGCUGUCUAGAGAGAGAGAGAGAGAGAGAGAGAGAGAGAGAGAGAGAGAGAUGGGUUUCAGACUAAUCACUUCAGGUCCCAUCGUGAUUAGUGAUUAUCAUCUGAUCUCCCUGGCGGCAGUGGUUUUUUAGUCUGCAGUCGAGGGAAGUUUGGGAAUCAAGGUGGAAAAUAUCUGACCCAUGAGGCUUGAUAGGAUUUACGCCAAAUCUGGGUCAUCUAAACAAAAUGUACCUCUGCAAAGAGACUGUUUUCAAAGAGGAGAGAAUGCAAAUAGUCAUUAGGGUAAUGAUGAGAAAUGUGUUAGGAGACAGAACUGGGGCAGUCUGAUUUGAACAGACAAUCAAGGAAAAGGAGUAGCUCAAGAAUGGCCAAGGGGUGAGAGAAGGAAAGUGUGAGGGGAUGUGUGAGGAUGGAACUUGGAACCGUUGAAUCUUCUGCGAUGUUUGAGAGGUGCAUGGUGGGUAGUUGUGAGUAGUACAUUCAAGACACACCAACCAACACACAAACACACACACACUCCUGUAGCUCCAUUUUGCAGAAAAUAGACCUCAAGACACACACACACACAUAUAUUCACACAAACACAAUGUGACCAUUCACAAAGUUACUGAAAAGGCUCAAUGUCUUA